rnacentral:rRNA from 1 species
AACGCGAAGAACCUUACCAGGUCUUGACAUCCCCCUGAAGCUGUUAGAGAUAGCAGCGGCCUUCGGGACAGGGGAGACAGGUGGUGCAUGGUUGUCGUCAGCUCGUGUCGUGAGAUGUUGGGUUAAGUCCCGCAACGAGCGCAACCCUUGAUGUUAGUUGCCAGCAGGUAAGGCUGGGCACUCUAACGUGACUGCCGGUGACAAACCGGAGGAAGGUGGGGAUGACGUCAAAUCAUCAUGCCCCUUAUGACCUGGGCUACACACGUACUACAAUGGCCGGUACAACGGGAAGCGAAGCCGCGAGGCGGAGCGAAUCCUUAGAAGCCGGUCUCAGUUCGGAUUGCAGGCUGCAACUCGCCUGCAUGAAGUCGGAAUUGCUAGUAAUCGCGGAUCAGCAUGCCGCGGUGAAUACGUUCCCGGGCCUUGUA